ACUGAACGCUGGCGGUAGGCCUAACACAUGCAAGUCGAACGCGAAAGUCCUUCGGGAUGAGUAGAGUGGCGGACGGGUGAGUAACGCGUAGGAAUCUAUCCCGUAGUGGGGGAUAACGUUUCGAAAGGAACGCUAAUACCGCAUACGCCCCACGGGGGAAAGCGGGGGAUCUUCGGACCUCGUGCUAUAGGAGGAGCCUGCGUCGGAUUAGCUAGUUGGUGAGGUAAAGGCUCACCAAGGCGACGAUCCGUAGCUGGUCUGAGAGGAUGAUCAGCCACACCGGAACUGAGACACGGUCCGGACUCCUACGGGAGGCAGCAGUGGGGAAUAUUGCGCAAUGGGCGAAAGCCUGACGCAGCCAUACCGCGUGUGUGAAGAAGGCCUUCGGGUUGUAAAGCACUUUCAGUGGGGAGGAAGAGCUGGUGGCUAAUAUCCACCGGCCGUGACGCUACCCACAGAAGAAGCACCGGCUAAUUCCGUGCCAGCCGCCGCGGUAACAC
rnacentral:rRNA from 1 species